CUGGCUAAUUUUUGUAUUUUAGUAGAGAUGGGGUUUCAUCAUGUUGGCCAGGAUGGUCUCGAUCUCCUGACCUCAUAAUCCACCCACCUUGGCUUCCCAAAGUGCUGGGGUUACAGCCAUGAGGCACUGUGCCCGGCUAUAUACUCCAUUUUCUAAAGGCCACCGCAAGCCACAGGGAAGCCGCAUGGAUGCACAACGCUCUCAAGGGGAAAAACAGCUACUUUGAUGACCUCCUCAAAUGCAAUGCAAAAGCUGGACUCUCCUCCGCCCCCAAGCACUCCCAGGCUCCUGGGCAGGGCCAUCAACUCCACUCCAGCCAUCCCUCCAGACUGGUGCCUGAAAAAUAGAAUUUCUGCUUCAGCCCAAGCAUUCGCUGCUGUCAGGCAUUUCAAAGAGGACAAGACAACAAGGUGUUCUGAGACAAGCAGAGAAGCUGCGCUUACUCAGGAGCCAAAUAAUGAGUGCCUUUGGAUUCCUGCCUUGCUGCUUGCUAUGAGACAGCCCUGACCACUCCCACUCCUAGACCUCAGUACCAAAACCCCUAAGCCUUCUCGGAAGGAGAGAAGGGACAGAAGACUGAGGAAAGAGAUGAUGGAUAUCUGCAUGGAUAUGUGGCUGUGAAAAUUACAAGAAAUUAAUAAUAUUAUAAUGAUAAUGAG
rnacentral:lncRNA from 1 species